GCCACCUGAGCACAGGUCUGCUCAGGGGAGUUUUCAAGUCUCAUUUGAGGUCCAGACCACAGAGAUAGACUGUCUUCAUUGCUCCUCCUUAGGUACUACUUGAUCCAUGACUAUGGAGACAGACAGGUUCUCGCAGGUGCUUAUCACGAGGAGGCCUGCUUCUCCCUGACGAUUCCCUUCCACCCCGAGGACCCAGCCCCAAGCAGCUUGUGCAAGUAUUUCAAGGACAGCAGGAAUAUGAAGAAGCUCAAGGACCCCUGUGAACCUGCGGGUCCAGCUGCUGAAGCACACAAAACGUGUCAUUGUGCACACCCUCUGUGUGUUGCCCAAGACUCAGCAUGCCUUCAGCUCCUUCGUGGUGGACACGUG